rnacentral:lncRNA from 1 species
AUAAAACGAGAGAAAAAACCCCAACAUCGGAAACAUCAUGGAAGAUGCAUGUGAACUCCGGUUUCGAUGAACUCGAGCUUGUCAUGAAGAUGACCAUAAGCUCCGAAUCUCACAUAGAGAAACACCAAACAAGAACCAAGAAAUAUGAUGCAAAGAUGCAAUGUUUUGAGCUCUCUACGAACGAUACGAUCAAGCUACUCACUCGAGAGCCCCCUGGAGAAUAUGACAAUCGAUCCUACAACCCGGUCACCCAACUACCAUCAUGAGACCGAUAAAAUAGAAAAGCCAUCAAGGGCAAAACUUUGCCUUGCACAUAGUCCACUUGAGCUUGUUGAUGACGGUCUUGACUUUCUCAAGUUGGACCACCUUUCUUGAUUGCGUUGGCUCGAUGAAGACUAGUUGAUUGCUCCUCGAUACUCCACUAUGGGUGAGCCACUUUUCGACACAUCUUCACAAGUACAUUGUCACUACAAUGGACGAUAAGCUUCAAGGACGUCAUCUCUCCACAUAGAAUUCUCACGUAGACCAUGGAAUAGUACACAAAUCGUAAUGGACAAUGCUUACCAUACCAUGGGAUCACUUGAUCCCUUUCGGUGCAUCUUCUACGCUUUGCUUGUUGAUCAACUUGAUUCACACUUUGACUUAGUCUUGAUCAACCUUGUAUCAUGUCUUCUACAUGACCGAUCUUUGGAUAAUUCCUUGAAUAGCACUUUGGUCAUCUCAUAAACUCUUUGAAACCAACACAUGGACUUCAAGAAAUGUCUAUGGACAAAUCCUUCAAAUAUAACUCAAGGCAGCCAUUAGUCCAUAGAGAAUAUCAUCAAUUACCAAAACCACACACUGAGGCACCAUACUCUUUCACCAACGAAGCAGUAUAGCUUGUACAUGGCCGACACGUCCAACUAGUUUGUUUGUGACCAAACGACAAUAAAAAGCAAAGUACAUAUUUCUCACAAACUACUUGAUUAGUACGAAAGGCUAGGGAUUUUCCAUCUACAUACUCCCUUCGACUCCAAAAGGUGUACAUAUGUUAAUCAUCUAAAAUUGUGCUUUGACUAUCAAUUAAUCAAAUAAUAUGUUGUUUAUGUCACACAAGUUGCUACUGUUAGAUUUUUUUACUAAAUACACUUUGAAAUUAUGAUUUUGUAAUGGUUAACUAAAUAUUAUACGAGAUGUUUUCGAGCAAAGCAUGAAUUUCUAUAACUGCGGGGUUAAAUAGGGAUCAACAACUGGUAUGCAUUGCAAAUAGACUGGAUCAAAGAUUUGAUUCUACGUGAAGGCCGUCACACGCACCCGUAAUUGCACUACAUCCAACAAAAAUGGCACCACCUUCUUGAUCUCUCCCAACCGAUUCCCAACCUUUUUUCCAUAAUGUCCUGUGGAAAGAACCACCCAUGUUGACCAUGAUUCAAUCCUGAGGUGGUAGCCGCCACUUGACUACUCAGACUUCUUGUUGAAUCGGUAUCCUCCAAAGGAAUUCCUUCCCAGCAACCACCAUUGUUGAUCCUAAAACAAAAGGCAGCCGCGGCCAUAGACAAUUGGUGGGCAAAAGAGCACUAAAAACCAGAGGUAACCAAUAAUUUCUAUAAUGGCGGGG